GAUAUGCUCUUCAACUUCCUCUUUUCAUUAAAAGCGGCGGAGAUAAGAAAUUCCAAAUACUUUAUGAGAUAUCGAAUUUUUUAAUUUUGCAAUACAAGACCUGUGGAACCAUUCGAGCGGCGCCAUUUUUGUUAUUUUGCCGUGUGUUCGUGAGACGUGAAUACGUGAAUCGUGAAUGCGUAAUUAAUAAAAUGGUUGAUUAGGUCAGGUCAGUUACAUUAUUAAUACUUUCAAACUAAGCCGACAUUAAAAAUUAUUUUGUGAAUUAAUUUUAAUGGCUGUUUAGUUUUAAAAUAUUUAUAAUGUAACUGACCUGACCAAACAAACCCGGACAAAGGGUGAACAGUAAACUAAAAUGGUCGAUUAGGUCAGGUCAGUUACAUUAUAAAUACUUUCAAACUAAGGUGAUAUUAAAAAUAAUGUGAAUUAAUUUUAAUUAUUCCUUAGUUUUAAAUUAUUUAUAAUGUAACUGACCUUACCUAACAAACCCGUAACAAAGGAUGUACAGUAACAACUGACGUAAUUUUUUUUGUUACUUAUUACUUGCGCAACAAUAUCAAAAUAACAAAUAAGACUUUAAAAUUAGAAACGUUAAAAACUCACCUAAGUUGGAGGCGGUAAUUAAACACUGUUUUAAACAAUAAUUGAACUAAAUAAUCACGUAUUAGUUCAUUUGAAUUCUGGCCUAUCACGAACAAUCACGUGACGACAUUAUCCAAUAAAAAAAAAAUACUCGUACGUAAACAAGAAACAAUGGUGCAGUCACACACGCCACAGGAAUGCGCUGGUUUUGUGCUGAAAUUUAAAAAUUCGAUAUCUCCUAAAGUAUUUGGAAUUUCUAAUCUCCGCCGCUUUUAAUGAAAAGAGGAAGUUGAAGAGCAUAUAAUAAAGGUAUUUUCGGAUUGUUAACAUUUUUUUUCGCAAAUACCGCUCAACUACAUAUGAAGAAAUUUAAAAAUUCGAUAUCUCCUGAAGUAUUUGGAAUUUCUAAUCUCCGCCGCUUUUAAUGAAAAGAGGAAGUUGAAGAGCAUUAUAUAAAGGUAUUUUCGGAUUUUUAACAUUUUUUUUCGGAAAUACCGCCCAAGUAAAUAUUUACCGACCCAGCACAGAUACCAACACUGGAACAAUUUAUCAUCUUUUUGGAAGGUCGACAACGAUUGUUGGAGUCUUUAGGAAGUGGACAAAAACUGAAGGCUGUUUACAAACCAAGCCACCAACAACCCAACUGGAGAUCUUCGGGGCCUCACUCCACACAUUCAUUUCUAGGUCAUUCAGGGGAGAAAAGGUCUCAGCAAUGUAUGCUGUGUGGAGACCAUCACUCAUUGUCUCAGUGUUCCAAAUUUGUGGAAGCCUCCCCUAAGCAGCGAUUUGAAUUUGCAAAACAGCUGAAGGUGUGUAUAAACUGCCUGCGGCAGUUUCAUAAGGCCAAGGAUUGCUAUUCAAAGACCAACUGCAGAACUUGUGGAUCACGUCAUAAUACCUUGUUACAUUUUGAAGACUCAGCAUUAUCCAGCCAAAACUUGGAGAAAAACAAUGAGCUAAGUACAGAGGUGCAGUUGACUGAUGAUAUCCCUGAACAACCUCCCACGUCAGCUUUGACCAGUACUGGUCCAUCAUGUGUUUUAUUGGCAACAGCCACUGUUGGUGUUAGAGAUGCUAGUGGCAACAAUCAGAAGUGUAGAGUGCUGCUGGAUUCGGGAAGUCAAGCUAAUUUCAUUACAAGCCAGUGCCUUCAGAAGUUAGGCUUGCCUCGACACAAGUGUUCACGAUUGAUUCAGGGUCUUUCCGGUGUGUCUGUCACAUCUGUGAGAGGAACUGCCUCUUGCCAGAUACAUCCCAUCGAUGAUGAUGCUAGAGUAUUCACCCUUGACACUUUGGUUCUAAACAAAAUAAGUGAGAAGUUGCCUAAUACACAUAUUUUUUCUGGGCAGUGGAAACAUCUCUCGAAUCUGAAGAUGGCAGAUCCCCACUUUGGAACACCUGGUCCAAUCGAAAUGUUGCUUGGAGCCUAAAUUUUCCCUCUUUUGUUAACUGGUGGUCGUGUCGAAGGCAUUCCUGGCUCUCCAACAGCAUUGGAUUCCAUUUUUGGGUGGUUGGUCAUGGGAAAAAUCGAAUCGACGUCUGGGUCUCCAGUGUCUGGAUUAUCAACAUGUUUUCAUGCUUCACUUGUGCCACUGGAAGAUACCAUGAAGAAGUUUUGGGAACUCGAAGAAAUUCCAGAUGUGAUCCCUGAAACACCGGAAGAAGUUAAGUGUGAAGAGAUCUUCAGAACUACUCACAAGAGAGGAACUGAUGGCCGCUAUACAGUCAAGUUGCCAUUCAAAACUGUGGCCCCAGAAUUGGGAGAGUCAAAAUCUCGAGCACUAAGGCGCUGGGGAAGUUUAGAACAGAGAUUAUGUCGCCAACCAGAGCUCAAGUCUCAGUACGAAAACUUCAUGAAGGAUUACAUUACAGAGGGUCACAUGGAAAUAGUGGCUGAAGCAGAACAUAACGUUAGACUGGGUUACUACAUCCCUCACCACUGUGUCUUAAAACCUGACAGCACCACCACAAAACUUCGUGUUGUUUUUGAUGCAUCGGCAAAGACGUCAUCUGGACUGUCCUUAAAUGACACCUUGCUACCAGGAAAUAAGUUACAGGGCGACAUAAGUAACCUUAUUCUUCGCUUGCGAUGCCAUAAGAUUGCUUUCACCGCUGAUGUCCAGCAAAUGUACAGACAAAUUCUACUGGAUCCACAGCAACAGGACUAUCACAGAAUCCUUUGGCGCUCCAACUUAAGGGACCCAAUCCAGGAAUAUCGGCUGAAAACCGUAACAUAUGGUGUCUCUGCAGCACCGUUUCUUGCCAUUCGAACACUUCACCAACUUGCGGAAGAUGAGAAACCAAGGUACCCUCGUGCAGCAAGUGUCCUUGUGGCUGACACUUAUGUGGAUGACGUAGUGACUGGUGCAGAUACACUGCAGGCAGCCGUACAAUUGCAACAGGAACUAGUUGGUCUUCUCAAGUCUGGUGGCUUCAAUCUCCGCAAGUUUGCCAGCAACAGUCCAGAGUUUCUUGCCCAACUGCCACCAUCUCAACUACAACAACCUAUUGCUCAUUUGUUUGACACUGAAGGGCAUUCAAGUCUGAAGGUACUUGGUCUUCAUUGGAAUGCUAGGUUAGAUACUUUUUCGUACCAUGUACACUCCAUGAGCAGCAGCUGCACUAAGAGGGGCAUUCUAUCUGAUGUGGCAAGAAUAUUUGAUCCACUAGGUUGGCUAUCACCUCUGUUGUUACUGGCAAAAUCAAUGAUACAAGAGUUAUGGUUAGAAGGUGUUGACUGGGAUGACAACCUGCCUACCAGAUUAGAGGUGAAGUGGACUCGUUUCAAGGAGGAGCUGUCUUUAGUGGAGGAAGUUACUAUACCCAGGGGACCUCUUGUAGGUGCGCGAGACUCAUUGCUCGAACUUCAUGGUUUCUCUGACAGUUCAGAGUUAGGAUAUGCCGCUGUAGUAUAUCUUCGUGAGGUACCUCAUGAUGGUCCACCCCAAGUACAUCUGCUGAUGGGUCGGUCCAAGGUAGCACCAACCAAAAGGGUUACCUUACCUCGUCUCGAACUUUGUGGAGCUGUUUUACUCUCAAAACUUCUGAUUUAUAUUGUGGGUGUUCUUUCAUCUCUAAAUUUUAAGAGCAUUUACGCCUGGACAGAUUCCACUGUCACCCUAGCUUGGAUACGGUCAUCAUCUCAUAGAUGGAAAUCAUUUGUGGCAAAUCGUGUGGGAGAAAUUCAAACAAACACUUCACCUGAGUGGUGGCAUCAUGUUCCUUCGGCUGAUAAUCCGGCAGACUGCGCCUCCAGAGGUCUUCUGCCCUCACAGCUGGUCAACCAUACGUUGUGGUGGACAGGCCCAUCAUGGUUGCGUGAGGGACAAGCCACAUGGCCACAUUUCAGUUGGACGUCAUCUCUCGAUAAUGCAGAGUUGAUAACUGAACAGCGUAAUCAGCCUGCUGAACCCUUUGUCGGCGCUCUCACAGUUGGAGACCUAUCGCUGCUUCAUCAGUUUUCAUCCCUCACGAAAAUCAAACGGAUAACAGCCUACUGUUUGCGCUUUAUAAACAUGAGAAGUUCUCACAAGGAGAAAAGAAGUGGUGCUCUUCAGGUGAGCGAGCUUCAAGCAGCACUCUUGGUGUGGGUCAGAAGGACCCAGGCUGUUGAGUUCGCUACUGAACUCUUGGCUGUGAAAAAGGGUCAGUGCUCAAUCUCCUUGAAGAAAUUGAACCCUUUCGUAGAUUCAAAUGGCAUUCUCAGAGUUGGUGGUAGGCUCCAGGCAUCGGACUUGCCGUAUAGCCAAAAACAUCCUAUCUUGCUUCCAAAACGGUGUCGCUUGACGAAACUGAUCAUCGAUCAGCUACACAAGGACUUGCUGCACCCAGGCCCUCAACAUUUGCUUUCUGUCCUGCAGCAAGACUUCUGGGUUGUGAAUGGCAAGGACGUUAUCAGGCAGCAACUGCAUAGGUGUGUAAUCUGUUUCCGUGUCAGGCCAAGCCCAGUAAUUCCUAAGAUGGGUAACCUGCCAGCUGAAAGAAUCACACAGGCCAAACCAUUCUUAAAAACUGGAGUUGACUAUGCUGGACCAUUUACCAUAACAAUGGCUCGGACCCGUAAACCACGGACAUUUCGUGCGUAUAUUUGUUUGUUUGUGUGUUUUACCACCAAGACUCUACAUCUUGAAUUGGUGUCUGAUUUAUCUACUGAAGCGUUUCUAGCUGCAUUUCGUAGAUUUGUGGCCCUACGUGGUUCUUGCACAGACAUUUUCAGUGACUGUGGAACAAAUUUUGUUGGUGCUAAUCAUCAGCUGAAGGCUUUGCUGUCCUUCCUUGGAGAUAAAACCAACAACAAUAUUAUCACUCAUGCCUUGGGCAGCCAUGGAAUUCAAUGGCACUUCAAUCCACCAGGUGCACCUCAUUUUGGAGGACUGUGGGAGGCAGGGGUGAAGUCUGUCAAGGCUCAUUUGAGUAAGGUGAUUGGCAGUCAGCUGUUGACGUAUGAGGAGUUUAAUACAGUCCUCACCCAAGUUGAGGCCAUGUUGAAUUCACGGCCGCUGACCCCAUUGUCGACAGACCCGAGUGACCUGACAGCGCUGACACCUAGUCAUUUCCUCACUCUGGGCCCUCCUCAAAUCUUACCUGAAGAGGAUGUGACUUCGGUGCCUAUGAAUCGGCUUUCAAGAUGGCAUCUUUUGCAACAAGCUCACCAAUGCUUCUGGCAGCGAUGGCAUAAAGAUUAUUUGCAUCAGCUGCAGGUGCGGGGGAAGUGGAAUCAAGCUGGCGUGAAUGUGCAACCCAACACACUAGUGUUGAUUCAAGACCCUAACUUGCCUCCACUUCGUUGGAGACUUGGACGAGUGAUAAAAACUUUUCCAGGUCCUGAUGGAGUGGUACGUGUGGCACAACUCCGUACACUCCAGGGACUUGUUACUCGACCGAUAGUGAAGCUGUGCCCCUUACCCCAAGACUAAGUUGAAAUAUUUAUUUCAAGGUGGGCGGGAUGUUCAGUGACUUUAAAAAAGGACCCUUUGUAUAUAUUUCUCAUUUGUUUGUGCUCGGAGCAUGGACAUGUAACAGUGUUUUUCUUUUUGUUGUUGGUUGUGUGCGGACAAAACUUUCUCCUUGCUUGUGUAUCCAACAAAGGACAGUAAAAAUUAAGAUGGCCGCCUAGACACAAGUUGGUGCUGGGCGCUGCUAGAAUUCAUCAAUUUUCGGAUGAAUUCUUUAACUUCCGUAGUCACGGAACAAAUGACGUGAAAAAAUAGAUUUUGUCUAUUUUCUAAAUAACAAGAAUGCAUACAAUUAUAUGUAUAUUCAAAGGCUUGGUUUAUUCGACUCGAGCAUACCUUGGCCUAGAAGCCAGCCAGUGAUGCUGUGACUGUGAAGUUGCCGGCACAGAUAACUAACGGAAGUUUGAUAAAAGAAAGAAAGGAUGUGAUUCUAUUUUUAAAGCCACGCACUUAGGUGGCGACUGCAAGGCUGAAGAAUGUGACAGGCGUCAACGGCAAGAUGUCUAAUGGCGAGCGAGAGGGGUGGAGAUAAAGCAGACAAAUAACAAAAGCUCGCUUCAAGCGAUCACGCCGUAAAUUCCUCAAAAAUACCUCGUUAUAGCCGUGUUCUCGCUAUUACCGUGCUCGCUAUAACGAGAUUCUACUGUAUUGUAACAUUUAUUUGUUCCGAAAAGGUGAUCGAGUGCAAAGGGCCGACGAAC